rnacentral:rRNA from 1 species
UACGAAGGGGGCUAGCGUUGUUCGGAAUUACUGGGCGUAAAGCGCACGUAGGCGGAUUGUUAAGUGAGGGGUGAAAUCCCAGGGCUCAACCCUGGAACUGCCUUUCAUACUGGCAAUCUCGAGUUCGAGAGAGGUAAGUGGAAUUCCGAGUGUAGAGGUGAAAUUCGUAGAUAUUCGGAGGAACACCAGUGGCCGAAGGCGG